CUUCUUUGCCAGUUAGUGCUCAGUAUCUGAUGGCCCCAAAUUGCUCAGUGUGUUGGGGGUGGGUUGGGUGAA
rnacentral:lncRNA from 1 species